UGUUUGCAUUCCUGGGAAGGCAUUGGUUAGCUCUGCGACAGACCCUUCUGACCAGCUCACCUCUACCAGCACACCUCAGACCCAACUGCAAGAAGAUCCAAGCACCAACGGGACCCUCUGGUAGCCUGAUGCUACCAGAUUCCUCUCUCAGUUCAUCUAUCAUGGAGGGCUCCCCAGUUGGGAGUCCUCAAAAACACAAAUCUGAUUGACAAGCUAGCUGCCUGCCUGCCUUCAGCCAGUCUACCUGCUGCUGCCUUCGGGUUUUCUGCCAACAUAGCUCAGACUCGCCCUUGCUUGCCUGAUACGGCAGGUGCAGUUCUCUCACACCAGCCGAUCAUCUGCUGCAACAGAGCCUCAAAUGAACGAGGAGAACGUAGGAGCUUGGUCAGGUCACCAGCAGCCAUGGGCCAAUGCCAGGCUAUUCUGAGCCCAACUUGGGCACAGAGCAAAAAGGACAGGCAGCCCAUGAGCCCCCCUGGACAUCUCCAGUCAUCAUAUCUGUGUCCAUAUCUUUGUGAGACGGUCAUGCCUAUGAUCUGCAACAGUGAUUUUCUGAGAUCAACCCUAGUGUCAAGCUUCCUGAGCGGUAAGUUCCAUAAACCAUCAAAACGGUAUGCUUACGGAAAACUAUUGAUGGUGGUAGUAUCUGAGCUGCAGUAUCUGUCUCUCAGCAGAGGCAGAGCAUUUUACUUUUCACAAUGAACUCUCUUGCACUGUUUCAUUUCUUACUCUAAGCUUGUAUAACUUUUUUAAAUCUAAUAAAAAGUCCUAGGAA